rnacentral:rRNA from 1 species
ACUAAGCGUACACGGUGGAUGCCCUGGCAGUCAGAGGCGAUGAAGGACGUGCUAAUCUGCGAUAAGCGUCGGUGAGGUGAUAUGAACCGUUAUAACCGGCGAUUUCCGAAUGGGGAAACCCAGUGUGUUUCGACACACUAUCAUUAACUGAAUCCAUAGGUUAAUGAGGCGAACCGGGGGAACUGAAACAUCUAAGUACCCCGAGGAAAAGAAAUCAACCGAGAUUCCCCCAGUAGCGGCGAGCGAACGGGGAGGAGCCCAGAGCCUGAAUCAGUGUGUGUGUUAGUGGAAGCGUCUGGAAAGGCGCGCGAUACAGGGUGACAGCCCCGUACACAAAAAUACACAUAUUGUGAGCUCGAUGAGUAGGGCGGGACACGUGGUAUCCUGUCUGAAUAUGGGGGGACCAUCCUCCAAGGCUAAAUACUCCUGACUGACCGAUAGUGAACCAGUACCGUGAGGGAAAGGCGAAAAGAACCCCGGCGAGGGGAGUGAAAAAGAACCUGAAACCGUGUACGUACAAGCAGUGGGAGCACUCUUUAUGGGUGUGACUGCGUACCUUUUGUAUAAUGGGUCAGCGACUUAUAUUCWSUAGCAAGGUUAACCGAAUAGGGGAGCCGAAGGGAAACCGAGUCUUAACUGGGCGUUAAGUUGCAGGGUAUAGACCCGAAACCCGGUGAUCUAGCCAUGGGCAGGUUGAAGGUUGGGUAACACUAACUGGAGGACCGAACCGACUAAUGUUGAAAAAUUAGCGGAUGACUUGUGGCUGGGGGUGAAAGGCCAAUCAAACCGGGAGAUAGCUGGUUCUCCCCGAAAGCUAUUUAGGUAGCGCCUCGUGAAUUCAUCUCCGGGGGUAGAGCACUGUUUCGGCAAGGGGGUCAUCCCGACUUACCAACCCGAUGCAAACUGCGAAUACCGGAGAAUGUUAUCACGGGAGACACACGGCGGGUGCUAACGUCCGUCGUGAAGAGGGAAACAACCCAGACCGCCAGCUAAGGUCCCAAAGUCAUGGUUAAGUGGGAAACGAUGUGGGAAGGCCCAGACAGCCAGGAUGUUGGCUUAGAAGCAGCCAUCAUUUAAAGAAAGCGUAAUAGCUCACUGGUCGAGUCGGCCUGCGCGGAAGAUGUAACGGGGCUAAACCAUGCACCGAAGCUGCGGCAGCGACGCUUAUGCGUUGUUGGGUAGGGGAGCGUUCUGUAAGCCUGCGAAGGUGUGCUGUGAGGCAUGCUGGAGGUAUCAGAAGUGCGAAUGCUGACAUAAGUAACGAUAAAGCGGGUGAAAAGCCCGCUCGCCGGAAGACCAAGGGUUCCUGUCCAACGUUAAUCGGGGCAGGGUGAGUCGACCCCUAAGGCGAGGCCGAAAGGCGUAGUCGAUGGGAAACAGGUUAAUAUUCCUGUACUUGGUGUUACUGCGAAGGGGGGACGGAGAAGGCUAUGUUGGCCGGGCGACGGUUGUCCCGGUUUAAGCGUGUAGGCUGGUUUUCCAGGCAAAUCCGGAAAAUCAAGGCUGAGGCGUGAUGACGAGGCACUACGGUGCUGAAGCAACAAAUGCCCUGCUUCCAGGAAAAGCCUCUAAGCAUCAGGUAACAUCAAAUCGUACCCCAAACCGACACAGGUGGUCAGGUAGAGAAUACCAAGGCGCUUGAGAGAACUCGGGUGAAGGAACUAGGCAAAAUGGUGCCGUAACUUCGGGAGAAGGCACGCUGAUAUGUAGGUGAAGCGACUUGCUCGUGGAGCUGAAAUCAGUCGAAGAUACCAGCUGGCUGCAACUGUUUAUUAAAAACACAGCACUGUGCAAACACGAAAGUGGACGUAUACGGUGUGACGCCUGCCCGGUGCCGGAAGGUUAAUUGAUGGGGUUAGCGGUAACGCGAAGCUCUUGAUCGAAGCCCCGGUAAACGGCGGCCGUAACUAUAACGGUCCUAAGGUAGCGAAAUUCCUUGUCGGGUAAGUUCCGACCUGCACGAAUGGCGUAAUGAUGGCCAGGCUGUCUCCACCCGAGACUCAGUGAAAUUGAACUCGCUGUGAAGAUGCAGUGUACCCGCGGCAAGACGGAAAGACCCCGUGAACCUUUACUAUAGCUUGACACUGAACAUUGAGCCUUGAUGUGUAGGAUAGGUGGGAGGCUUUGAAGUGUGGACGCCAGUCUGCAUGGAGCCGACCUUGAAAUACCACCCUUUAAUGUUUGAUGUUCUAACGUUGGCCCGUAAUCCGGGUUGCGGACAGUGUCUGGUGGGUAGUUUGACUGGGGCGGUCUCCUCCUAAAGAGUAACGGAGGAGCACGAAGGUUGGCUAAUCCUGGUCGGACAUCAGGAGGUUAGUGCAAUGGCAUAAGCCAGCUUGACUGCGAGCGUGACGGCGCGAGCAGGUGCGAAAGCAGGUCAUAGUGAUCCGGUGGUUCUGAAUGGAAGGGCCAUCGCUCAACGGAUAAAAGGUACUCCGGGGAUAACAGGCUGAUACCGCCCAAGAGUUCAUAUCGACGGCGGUGUUUGGCACCUCGAUGUCGGCUCAUCACAUCCUGGGGCUGAAGUAGGUCCCAAGGGUAUGGCUGUUCGCCAUUUAAAGUGGUACGCGAGCUGGGUUUAGAACGUCGUGAGACAGUUCGGUCCCUAUCUGCCGUGGGCGCUGGAGAACUGAGGGGGGCUGCUCCUAGUACGAGAGGACCGGAGUGGACGCAUCACUGGUGUUCGGGUUGUCAUGCCAAUGGCACUGCCCGGUAGCUAAAUGCGGAAGAGAUAAGUGCUGAAAGCAUCUAAGCACGAAACUUGCCCCGAGAUGAGUUCUCCCUGAGACUUAGAGUCUCCUGAAGGAACGUUGAAGACGACGACGUUGAUAGGCCGGGUGUGUAAGCGCAGCGAUGCGUUGAGCUAACCGGUACUAAUGAACCGUGAGGCUUAACC